UCUUUUGUUGUACACAGAAUCAAUUUGAAAUAAUCCUCUAACGUGCGAUACUAUGAAUUCUGUAACCAUGUUUUCUCUCCUCACUAAUUAUUCGGCGUAUUGCACUAAAACACAUUACUCGUUCUAUUAGCAAUCUUUGGGCAGUAUUCCUUCUUCCUGUACCAAAUCCACUAACCCUGGCAGUAAAGCAUUAUUUUACCAUUGUUAUACGGCCACAGUGACAUCAUAUAUUUGUAUUAUGCCCCGAAGAACUGUCGUAUUAUUUGUGUCAAUAAUUGCGCUCUGUACUGAGCUGGAUUUGCAUUCUGUCCAUGCUAUUAACCUACCACGCCUUCGUUUCGCAGGAGACGAUUCCGACGACUUGGUCAUGAUUCCUAAGGCAGACGACUCGGGCAUAACUAUUAUGUCUUUCGAGCCUUGCUGGGUCUAUCGCGAUGCAUAUUUCACUGAUGGAACCUUUCGUGAUAGAGUAAUCACAAACGGGGGAGUGUGUGUACCCGACAGCAACCUUUCGACUUUCUGCGAAAAUUAUUAUGGACUGAAUCAUACUAAAUCCAACAUAAAAUGCGAAGCCUGUAAUGUCCGUACACAGUCGUGCUGUUUUCGCACCAGAACCGACAUAGAACUGCCGAGAAUUUUCAUGAGGAGUUCUCUUGAAGAGCCACCGGAGAGAUGUUGUGUAUCUAAGCCCCCCUCGACCACUCCGCCCCCACCAGCCUCAACAACGCCCCGAACCCCGGUAACGGAGCCUCCUAACGCUACCACCACCACGAUAACGCCCCCUCCAUGGACGCCUACAGUGACUACUGCUGCCACGACGCCAACGCCACCGAACGCGUCGUCGACUGGAACGACCACAACUUCUACGCCACCUUUAAACACAUCAACCACCACGAUUCCAACGACGACCAGUGGGACACUUACUCCACCAACAAGGUCGUCGACGACAUCAUGGUGGCCAACGACCACUCCUCCCUCGCCAAAUACGACCCUGACACCGCCGAACCCUCCAACCAACUCGACAACGACGCCACCAUCACCACCGCCACCACCACCUGCACCGUGUAAUACGACCUCUACCACCACUUCGACCCCGCCUAACACCACGACAACUGCAACCCCGCCACCCGUGACGGUACCAACGGGCUCGACCACGCCGUCGUUACCAUCCACAACCGGGACGGGGACAUAUCCGCCCCCGGGUCAAACAACUACACCGUCGAUUCCAAGUACCACGGGAACGGAAACAUAUCCCCCACCCAUCGACACCACAACACCGCCGACUCCGCCUACCACCGGAACGGGGACAUAUCCUCCACCCAUCAACACCACGACACCACCUGUUCCACCUACCACCGAAACGGAAACGUAUCCGCCACCUAGCCGCACUAUGACACCGUCGACUCCAAGUACCACUGGAACAGAGACAUCUCAGCCACCUGGCAAAACUACCACGCCGUGGCUACCACCCACUACCGGAACGGGAACAUAUCCACCACCCAUGAACACGACGACACCCUCGAUUCCAUCUACCACCGAGACGGGGACGUAUCCGCCACUUUUUAACACUACCACACCACCGACCCCAUCUACAACCGGAACCGGGACAUAUCCGCCACCAAGCGAUACAACCACACCGUCGUUACCACCAACCACCGGGACGGGGACAUAUCCACCACCGAGCAAUUCAACCACACCAUCGACUACAACUACCACUUCAACGACAUCAAAGACUACAACGCCCCCGUCGUCAACCACCACCGGGUCGGUACCACCUCCUUCGUUAACUCCAUCCAUUCCGCCACCAACGGUAACUUUAACCCCAACCACGACCGCCCGUCUUACCACCUCCACCAAUAUUCCUCCGCCAUUCACCACACCGAACACCACCGUCCCACCCUGUGAUGACAGCGUCCCUAGCCCUCCCUUGCCGCUGUAUCCGCGAUGUGGUGUCACACUGGACCCAACAUACGCCGCCCCCGACUGCUUUCUUGUUGACAUCGGCUUCUAUGUGACACCUUCCUGUAAUCCCUUCGAAGCCCAGCGCUGGACUAGGAACGGAAACAGCCACGUCGGCGUUAUAAUCAACGAAACCGCUGUCUUGACAGUCGCCAGUGGUUUACGGGAUCCCAAAACCCGCAGAGCUAUGGCCAACAUCGCGGUUCGGGCCACCUCCGGCUCAGCGGAAAUAGAGGCCCAGUACAUUCUGGCCAAGCGGAUGUUCUUCCAGGACGACCACCUCCGCGCCACCAACCGCUACCCGAACCGUCUUUUCGUCCUCCUGGAACUGGAGCAGCCCAUCAACAUGGAGCGCGCCUGUCCGGUGUGUUUCUCCGAUCGGCGUCAGGAUAAGCCGCUCUCGGACAGCAAUUCCUACGAGAACCGCGCCUAUCUCGGAGAGUGUACGAUGUACGGACGCUACAAGGUGCCCUGGAGCUGGCUGUUAACAGCGAAGGGGCUGCAGUUUGGGCCUGUGGGGUACCGGCUGCUCCUUGGGAUAUCCGGACCUGCACCGAGACCCAUACGGAUUUUCACAAAAGGAUCACCCACGCUACCUGCAUGGACCCUCGCUAACGGGAUUCUGUGCCGUUGGACCUACACAGGCGCCGUUUUGUCUCGCGGACACGGGAGUACCAUUAGAAAGCAAAGUACGGAGCAAUAAUCGAAGAUGUAAUCGACGCGCCCACUCCGCUGGAUCCAGACGGUGACCGACGGCAAUGCCAAAUAUACGUAUUUCCCAAGGAACUGUACUUGUGGACUGCGUAAUAAAGGCCGACUUCAUGCUGACACAUUUGACAAUCUACGAAUGUGGCGCGAUAUCACCCUGUUUAUCACCCCACCCACGCAACGACAACACGUCCCAGUUUAGGUGGACUGGAAAUCGCUUGGGCAUGCCAGGGCUAAACGCCUUCGGCAGAGUGUGUCUUCGGGUAUGCCUUUGAGCCACAGGGUCUCGUCGCAACCUUGAACUACUACAGGGUGUUUCUGAGGCGGACGGUUCGUCGGUUUCGUUAUCGAUUAUUUUUAUGGACCGCACGCGUUUGCAGAGUGUUCUGAAUCAGACGGUUCUGCCGAAAUUUUCCUUGAAGGCGAUUGUUAUUGCCGGAAGGUCCUUUCGAGCCGGGCGCUUUGCGGAAGUACGGCUUUUACAUUUUACCUGUAGGCAGGCAAUUUUGCUCGAACGUGGAUUGCGCGGUUUGGUUUUCUCGGCGUGUUUUCGAGCUGGACUUUUUCCCAUGGAGCUGUUUUCAGCCAGUCGCUUUUGCCGGUUGGAUGUUUUCAGCCGGUCGCUUUUGCUAAUGUUGGGCUGGAAAUUGGACGUUUCGUAGAAAAUGCGCUCCACUCUAGGAUAUUGAUUAUCGACCGUUUCCCACCACUUUUCAAAAGCGAACUACUGUACGGUUCCCUUUCCAUUCCACUGUAAUGUGAUCAUCCUAUUCCUACCGGCUGCAAGCCAGGAAAAUCAUUCGCUUUUUUUCAUUGAAAUGUUUUAGCACUAUUCAUAAUAUUUUAGAGUAUUAAAUAUUUUUUAUACAGAUGGUUGAAGAUUAACCCUCCAGCGGGCGGUACCCGAAGGAGCGCGAGUAUCCUAUUGAAAAUCGGGAUUUCCCGAUGAAAAAAUUCAAUUAAGAAAGGGAAUUUUUUGUGAGCUUGUGCUGACCAUAGGUCAGCGGUGGUGACUAUGUCGCCUUCUAAACGCCAAUGCCCAUGGACGGUCUACAACAUAAAAGCGUUUAAUUCUGUAAUAGCUAGGCAAACAGGAAUUAAGUAAAACCAAU